UGGGGAAUCUUAGACAAUGGGCGCAAGCCUGAUCUAGCCAUGCCGCGUGUGUGAAGAAGGCAUGAGGGUUGUAAAGCACUUUCAAUAGUGAAGAAAAGCACAGGGUUAAUAACCUUGUGUGUUGACGUUAACUAUACAAGAAGCACCGGCUAACUCCGUGCCAGCAGCCGCGGUAAUACGGAGGGUGCAAGCGUUAAUCGGAAUUACUGGGCGUAAAGCGCGCGUAGGCGGUUUAGUAAGUCGGAUGUGAAAGCCCAGGGCUUAACCCUGGAAUUGCAUUCGAUACUGCUUGACUAGAGUAUGGUAGAGGGAAAGUGGGAAUUUCAAGUGAAGCGGUGAAAUGCGUAGAUAUUUGAAGGAACACCAGUGGCGAAGGCGACUUCCUGGGCCAAUACUGACCUUGAGGUGCGAAAGCGUGGGGAGCGAACAGGGUUAGAUACCCUGGUAGUCCACGCCGUAAACGAUGAGACUAGAUUUGAAGGGGUUACCCUUAAGUGUCGCAACUAACGCGUUAAGUUCUCCGCUGGGGAGUACGUCGGCAACGAUG
rnacentral:rRNA from 1 species